rnacentral:rRNA from 1 species
CAUUGAUGACGCGAGCUAACUUUUUUAAAAGUGAACCUGCGGAGGGAUCAUUAU